rnacentral:lncRNA from 1 species
GUUACUCAGUAGGCGGCGAUGCUCUCUAAUGAUGGUGAGGGAGUCCCUUUUAUAUAAUAAGGGCUCGCUCCUCAAUAUAUGAAUAAUGGGCUAGAGUUGAUGGUCUCUAAUGAUGGUGAGGGAGUCCCUUUUAUAAAAUAAGGGUUCGCUCCUCAAUACAUAAAUAAUGGGCUAAAGUCCCCCAAGUAUUUUUUAUGAGUCCCAAUAUAUGGUACAUAGUGUAGUCCCUCAAGUCUUCGAUCAAUAGAGUCUAUUAGCUGGAGACUUCAAAUUGAAUCCAUGUAUGGGCCGAAGUGGCGAUUGUUCGGAAGCGGUAUUUGUAUACCCUGCACUGAAGCUUUGUAGGUGAAGCUUUCUAAGUGAAGCUUUGAAGCUGGAGCUUUUGUAAAUGAAGCUUUUGAAGCUGGAGCUCUGUAAAUGAAGCUUUUGAAGCUGGAGCUCUGUAAAUGAAGCUUUUGAAGCUGGAGCUUUUGUAAAUGAAGCUUUCAAAGCUAGAGCUCUAUAAAUGAAGCUUUUGAAGCUAGAGCUUUGUAAAUGAAGCUUUUGAAGCUGAUUGACAUGAGUGAUGCUCAUGAAUGUUUAUGUAUGAUUGAUAUGAGUAAUUCUCAUGAAUGUUUAUGUAUAAUUGACAUGAGUAAUGCUCAUGUAUAAUUUGAAGUACUGGGCGUACUUUUGAUCACCUAGUGGGUGAUGAUAGCAGCAGGCUGCCGAAUAAUUUUGGAGAACUGGACGUACUUUUGAUCACCUGGUUGGUGAUA